AUUAUUUUUUAACAAUGUCUAAUUAUUAUUAUAUUUAGAUAACCAACUAAAUGGUUUAAAAAUAGUAAUGUUGUAGAAGGUUUGUCAAGCUUCAAUUCUAAUAUUAUACAACCUGCAGGGGAUAUGGAAUUCCAAAAUUAUGUGAAUAAAAAUAUGGCUUUUCUAAAAAUUGAAUUAAAACAAAUUCAAAGCAAUCAAUUGGUCAUUUUGAAUCAUUUAGUCUUUAUAGUUACAAUUGGAAGAUCAGCUUCGGGCCUCUGAGGAACAUUUUCCCGUCAAUCAGUUAAAUGACUGUCCAUUACCAAUAGACAAAAUUAUAGACUUACAAACUUUUGAAGAUAAAAUUGCUGGUGAUAAUGAAUUUAGAACAUGUGUGGUUAAGGAACUUACAUAUAUAGGUGGGGAAAAUGUCAAGGCAAUGGUGUGCAAAAUAAUGUGCAAACUAUGUACAGAUGAGUUGCUACAACACUAUUUUUACAAUGGAAAAAAAGGAAAACUCAAUUUUGUUCUUUGAGCAUUUGUAGUGUUAUAUUUGGAAAGAAUAUACUUAUUUGUUAUGAUUCCAUGUUUUUUACGCAUAUGCUAUGAAAAAAACAAGGACAGUUUAAACAUGUAUGCAAAGAUGAAAUAGAAGAAAUCAUAAAAUAUGAUUUGGUUCAAGCUCCAUUUGCUAUCAAAAGACUCCUACAAAAGACAAUCAACUAAAUAAUUUUUUCUAUUUUCUAGUAAAUCUUGUUAUGUUCAACAAAAUAAACAAAGUUAAUUUUAA